rnacentral:rRNA from 1 species
AUUGAACGCUGGCGGCAUGCUUUACACAUGCAAGUCGAACGGCAGCGCGGGCUUCGGCCUGGCGGCGAGUGGCGAACGGGUGAGUAAUGCAUCGGAACGUGCCCAGUAGUGGGGGAUAGCCCGGCGAAAGCCGGAUUAAUACCGCAUACGACCUGAGGGUGAAAGCGGGGGACCGAAAGGCCUCGCGCUAUUGGAGCGGCCGAUGUCGGAUUAGCUAGUUGGUGGGGUAAAGGCUUACCAAGGCGACGAUCCGUAGCUGGUCUGAGAGGACGACCAGCCAAACGUGGGCUUAGGCACGGCCCCGACUCCUACGGGAGGCAGCAGGGGGGAAAUUUGGACAAUGGGGGCAACCCUGAUCCAGCCAAGCCGCGUGCGGGAAGAAGGCCUUCGGGUUGGAAACCGCUUUUUGUCGGGAGGAAAGCCUCUGGGCUAAGUACCCGGGGGGAUGACGGUACCGGAAGGAUAAGCACCGGCUAACUACGUG